GACGAACGCUGGCGGCGUGCUUAACACAUGCAAGUCGAGCGGAGCGGCGAACGGGUGAGUGACGCGUGUGUAUCUGCCCCCCUCUCUGGGAUAACCGUUGGAAACGGCUGCGAAUACCGGAUCGUGGGGGAUGACUCGCGUCCUAUUCGUGUGUUGGUUGGGUAGUGGCCUCCCAAGGCGACGGCGGUUAGCCGGCCCGAGAGGGCGACCGGCGAGAUUGGGCUGGAGUACUGACCAAAGUCCUACGGGAGGCAGUAGUGGGGAAGAUUGCACAAUGGGGGAGAGACUGAGGGAGCAACGCGCGUGCGGGAGGACGGACUGCGGGUUGGAAACCGCUUUCGGCCAUGACGCGGUAGUGGCAGAAGAAGCACCGGCUAACUACGUGCCAGCAGCCGCGGUAAUUC
rnacentral:rRNA from 1 species